rnacentral:rRNA from 1 species
GUUGUAUGGUUAAGUGACUAAGCGUACACGGUGGAUGCCUUGGCAGUCAGAGGCGAUGAAAGACGUAGUAACUUGCGAUAAGCCCAGAUUAGGUAGUAACAACCAUUUGAGUCUGGGAUUUCUGAAUGGGGAAACCCACGUGCAUAAGCACGUAUCCUUACCUGAAUACAUAGGGUAAGGAGGCGAACCGGGGGAACUGAAACAUCUAAGUACCCCGAGGAAAAGAAAUCAACCGAGAUUCCGAAAGUAGCGGCGAGCGAAAUUGGACUAGCCCUUAAGCUUUACACGCGUUAGACGAACGGUCUGGAAAGUCCGACGAUACAGGGUGAUAGUCCCGUAGUUGACGACGUGUGUUCAGUGAAAUCGAGUAGGGCGGGACACGUGAUAUCCUGUCUGAAUAUGGGGGGACCAUCCUCCAAGGCUAAAUACUACUGACUGACCGAUAGUGAACCAGUACCGUGAGGGAAAGGCGAAAAGAACCCCUGUGAGGGGAGUGAAAUAGAACCUGAAACCGUGUACGUACAAGCAGUAGGAGCAGGCUUUGUCCUGUGACUGCGUACCUUUUGUAUAAUGGGUCAGCGACUUAUAUUCAGUGGCAAGGUUAACCAUCUAGGGGAGCCGUAGGGAAACCGAGUCUUAACUGGGCGUUCAGUCUCUGGAUAUAGACCCGAAACCAGGUGAUCUAGCCAUGGGCAGGUUGAAGGUUGAGUAACAUCAACUGGAGGACCGAACCGACUAAUGUUGAAAAAUUAGCGGAUGACUUGUGGCUAGGGGUGAAAGGCCAAUCAAACCUGGAGAUAGCUGGUUCUCCCCGAAAGCUAUUUAGGUAGCGCCUCGGACGAAUACUACUGGGGGUAGAGCACUGUUAAGGCUAGGGGGUCAUCCCGACUUACCAACCCUUUGCAAACUCCGAAUACCAGUAAGUACUAUCCGGGAGACACACGGCGGGUGCUAACGUCCGUCGUGGAGAGGGAAACAACCCAGACCGCCAGCUAAGGUCCCAAAUUACUACUAAGUGGGAAACGAUGUGGGAAGGCUCAGACAGCCAGGAUGUUGGCUUAGAAGCAGCCAUCAUUUAAAGAAAGCGUAAUAGCUCACUGGUCGAGUCGGCCUGCGCGGAAGAUGUAACGGGGCUAAGUAGUAAACCGAAGCUGCGGCAAUGUGCUUUUGCACAUUGGGUAGGGGAGCGUUCUGUAAGCGGUUGAAGGUGUGUGGUAACGCAUGCUGGACGUAUCAGAAGUGCGAAUGCUGACAUGAGUAACGAUAAAGGGGGUGAAAAACCUCCUCGCCGGAAGACCAAGGGUUCCUGUCCAACGUUAAUCGGGGCAGGGUAAGUCGACCCCUAAGGCGAGGCCGAAAGGCGUAGUCGAUGGGAAACGGGUUAAUAUUCCCGUACUUCUUACAAUUGCGAUGGGGGGACGGAGAAGGCUAGGUGGACCUGGCGACGGUUGUCCAGGUUCAAGUGCGUAGGCUUGAGAGUUAGGUAAAUCCGGCUCUUUUUAAGGCUGAGACACGACGUCGAGCCACUACGGUGGUGAAGUCAUUGAUGCCAUGCUUCCAGGAAAAGCCUCUAAGCUUCAGAUUGUAAGGAAUCGUACCCCAAACCGACACAGGUGGUCGGGUAGAGAAUACCAAGGCGCUUGAGAGAACUCGGGUGAAGGAACUAGGCAAAAUGGUACCGUAACUUCGGGAGAAGGUACGCUCUCGACGGUGAAGUCCCUCGCGGAUGGAGCUAUUGAGAGUCGCAGAUACCAGGUGGCUGCAACUGUUUAUUAAAAACACAGCACUGUGCAAAAUCGUAAGAUGACGUAUACGGUGUGACGCCUGCCCGGUGCCGGAAGGUUAAUUGAUGGGGUUAGACUUCGGUCGAAGCUCUUGAUCGAAGCCCCGGUAAACGGCGGCCGUAACUAUAACGGUCCUAAGGUAGCGAAAUUCCUUGUCGGGUAAGUUCCGACCUGCACGAAUGGCGUAAUGAUGGCCACGCUGUCUCCACCCGAGACUCAGUGAAAUUGAAAUCGCUGUGAAGAUGCAGUGUACCCGCGGCUAGACGGAAAGACCCCGUGAACCUUUACUACAGCUUGGCACUGAACAUUGACCCUACAUGUGUAGGAUAGGUGGGAGGCUUUGAAGCACGUACGCCAGUAUGUGUGGAGCCGUCCUUGAAAUACCACCCUUGUAGUGUUGAUGUUCUAACGUCGACCCCUUAUCGGGGUUGCGGACAGUGCCUGGUGGGUAGUUUGACUGGGGCGGUCUCCUCCCAAAGAGUAACGGAGGAGCACGAAGGUGGGCUAAUCACGGUUGGACAUCGUGAGGUUAGUGCAAUGGCAUAAGCCCGCUUGACUGCGAGAAUGACAAUUCGAGCAGGUGCGAAAGCAGGUCAUAGUGAUCCGGUGGUUCUGAAUGGAAGGGCCAUCGCUCAACGGAUAAAAGGUACUCCGGGGAUAACAGGCUGAUACCGCCCAAGAGUUCAUAUCGACGGCGGUGUUUGGCACCUCGAUGUCGGCUCAUCACAUCCUGGGGCUGAAGUCGGUCCCAAGGGUAUGGCUGUUCGCCAUUUAAAGUGGUACGCGAGCUGGGUUUAGAACGUCGUGAGACAGUUCGGUCCCUAUCUGCCGUGGGCGUUGGAAGAUUGAAGGGGCUGCUCCUAGUACGAGAGGACCGGAGUGGACGAACCUCUGGUGUUCGGGUUGUGUCGCCAGACGCAUUGCCCGGUAGCUAAGUUCGGAAUCGAUAACCGCUGAAAGCAUCUAAGCGGGAAGCGAGCCCUGAGAUGAGUCUUCCCUGAUACUUUAAGUAUCCUAAAGGGUUGUCGGAGACUACGACGUUGAUAGGUCAGGUGUGUAAGUGCUGUGAGGCAUUGAGCUAACUGAUACUAAUUGCCCGUGAGGCUUAACCAUACAACACCCAAGGGGUUU